rnacentral:rRNA from 1 species
GACGAACCGUCCAAACGUUAUUCGGAAUUACUGGGCUUAAAGGGUUCGUAGGCGGCCUUGUAAGUGAGAUGUGAAAUCCCACGGCUCAACCGUGGAAGUGCAUUUCAUACUGCAAGGCUUGAGGGAGACAGAGGUGAGCGGAACUGAUGGUGGAGCGGUGAAAUGCGUUGAUAUCAUCAGGAACACCGGUGGCGAAAGCGGCUUACUGGGUCUCUUCUGACGCUGAGGAACGAAAGCCAGGGGAGCGAACGGG